AACGCAUCUUGCGCUCCUUGGUAUUCCGAGGAGCAUGUCUGUCUGAGUGUCAUGAAAUUCUCAACCCUUUGAUUUAUUUUGAAGGGCUUGGAUCAUGAGCGCUGCAGGCCCCAGCUGGGGUCAGCUCGCUCGAAAUAGAUCAGCGGUUAACCUUAGGUUUGCUGGCCUGACUCGACGUGGUAGAGUGACUUUAUUCGUCGAGGAUCCCUGCUUGCGGGGAGCCACUGAACUUUGAGGCCGCUCCUAAUUGCGUAUGCACUCUUUUGGUUUAGACCUCAGAUCAGGCAGGACUACCCGCUGAACUUAA
rnacentral:rRNA from 1 species